rnacentral:lncRNA from 1 species
GACGACUUUCUCUUGCUCUCCCCCUGGGGAGCCUGAGGCUGAGAGCCAGGAAGCCGUCCUAAAGCUUGUGUGAAGGUAAAUUGUGUCUGUUAUUUGGUGUCCUUGCAAAUUCACCUGAGCCAUCUUAAGUCAGCUGCCCGUGCUGGUCUGGGCGGCACUUUUAUGUAUUUCAGUGUGAGGUUUCAUGGAUUUUUCAAUCUCUGUUAUGAUUUCUUGUUUGAAGUUUUGGGGGGGCCUGUGGCUUGAUUUCAAGAGGUGGGAUCUCCCAGUUAUCUGUCGCUAAUCUGCUUGAUUCCACCGUGGCUGAGAGGAGGCUGAGGGAUUUCCUCCUCUGAGAUCUGCUGCAGCUUGCUUCACGACUCAGCAGCGGUGGUGCACUGAAUGCUGGGUGGGAUCUGAAGGCCUGAAGGCUGGGCUUCCUGGUGGGUCUGCCUGCUGUGAGGCCCUCAGGGCAACAGGAACUUACUUCCUGCAGUCUGGAGGCUGCAGGUCUGAAGCACCAGUGUGCUGCCAGCCUCUUCUGGGUGGGCCCCCUCCUGGAGUGGACAGCUGCCUUCUGCAGAGUCCUCAUGUGGUAGAGGAGCAGGGAGCUGAAGUCUCUCGUGGGGACACUGGUUCGACUGUCAGUCUUUGCUGCCGAAACUCUAUCUCUACUCUGACGAGACGCCGAUGAAGUCCAUGACUUAUGCCUGUGCCCUGUUCACCAGAGGGCCAGCUGGCUGUCACUGUUGUGGCCUCGUGUCUUGCAGCAUGGACAGGCUGAGCAUGUUCCAGCUCCUCACAUUCAGGUUCCUCCAUGCUUGGCAGUGUCCUCCUCCGUGGAUCUCCUUCUUCAGUUUUCACCAAGCCAUGCCUCAGCCCAGCUUAGGGAUCUUUGCUCAGUGGCCAGAGGUGGCCACUGCAAGUUCUGCCCCCACAGAGCACCACAGCACAGUGCAGCAAGUGCUACUGGGUAGAUGCACUGUGCUGAAGCCCAGGGGCAGGAAAUCAGAGGCUCAUCACUGUGGCGAUCUUCCUGGGCAAGACCUAUGAUGAGUGACCAGGUGACAGAGUCAAGUGCCGCCGUGUCCAGGUUUGGGGAGACCCUUCCUUUUGUGGGUCUCAAGUGAGAGGGUUACAUAUUGUGAGGUUGAGAAGCUGCCCUGUCUGGUGUUCCUGAUGUGAUUUGGGAUAUCCACAUAUCCAGGUGCUCCUGAUUUAGUUCGAUAAGUUAUUUAUCAGUUUGUGCCCUAUGUUGUGCCGGGCAGAUGGUGGUACUUUACUUGUGCAAAAAGGGGUGGGGUCAUCCUAUCUUGGCACCUAUAUUACAGCUUUAAAAUAACAGGGUAACUCAGGUUUAGAUACAGUAAGACAACUGCUGUUUUACACAUCAUGGAGUCACUCAGGGCAGGCACGUCCUGAAAGCUGCUGUCCUGCUUGCCAUGGAGUCACUCAGGCAAGCACAGCCUGGAAGCUGCCAUCCUGUACACCAUGGAGUCUGAAGUCCUGGGCUUCUCCCCAAUGCACACACAUUAUUUGUGCUGUUCUGUGGAGAAAAAGUGAUCAUCUUUCAGGGAAGACAGGCCACAUCAGAUGGGAGUACUUACAUGUAGCCUGAGAAACAGCAACAACAUUUUUUAAAAAACUAAAAUGAAAUUUAUCAACCCUUUCUGAAAGUAUGGUCUCUGCUACAUGAAGAGCUCUGUACAGGGUCAGAUAAAAAAUAGAUUAAUCAAUGGUGAUAAUGGUGGUUGUGAUGGAGAUGGAGAUGGUGAUGGAGGUGGAGGUGGUAAUGGUGAUGAUGAUGAAUGGUGAUAGUGAUGGAGAUGGAGAUGGAGAUCUAGUGGUGAUGGUGAUGGAGAUGGUGAUGGUGAUGGUGGUGGAGUGGUAAUGGUGAUGAUGAUGUGAUGGUGAUAGUGGUGGAGAUGGAGAUAGAAAUCUGGUGGUGAUGGUGAUGGAGAUGGUGAUGGAGAUGGAGAUGGUGUUGGUGAUGAUGGAGUGGUGAUAGUGAUAAUGAUGGAGAUGGAGAUGGUGAUGGAGAUGGAGAUCUAGAGUGAUGAGAUGGUGAUGGAGAUGGAGAUAGUGACGGAGAUGGAGUGGUGAUGGAGAUGGUGAUGGAGAUGGCGAUGGUGAUGGUGUUGGAGAUGGCGAUGGUGAUGUGUUGGAGUGGUGAUGUUGAUGGUGAUUGUGGUGUUCAUGGUGAUUGUGGUGUUGAUGGUGAUGGAGAUGGAGAUGGUGUUGGUGAUGAUGAUGGAGUGGUGAUAGUGAUAUUGAUGGAGAUGGAGAUGGUGAUGGAGGUGGUGAUGGAGAUGGAGAUCUAGGGUGAUGAGAUGGUGAUGGAGAUGGAGAUAGUGACAGAGAUGGAGUGGUGAUGGAGAUGGCGAUGGUGAUGGUGUUGGAGUGGUGAUGUUGAUGGUGAUUGUGGUGUUGAUGGUGAUGGUGAUGGAGAUGGUGUUGGUGAUGAUGAUGGAGUGGUGAUAGUGAUAAUGAUGGAGAUGGAGAUGGUGAUGGAGAUGGAGAUCUAGGGUGAUGAGAUGGUGAUGGAGAUGGAGAUAGUGACGGAGAUGGAGUGGUGAUGGAGAUGGCGAUGGAGAUGGCGAUGGUGAUGGUGUUGGAGAUGGCGAUGGUGAUGGUGUUGGAGUGGUGAUGUUGAUGGUGAUUGUGGUGUUCAUGGUGAUUGUGGUGUUGAUGGUGAUGGUGAUGGUUAUGGAGAUGGUGAUGGUGAUUGUGGUGUUGAUGGUGAUGAGAUGGUGAUGGUGAUUGUGGUGGUGAUGGUGAUGGUGUGAUGAUGAUGAUGGAGUGGUGAUGGUGAUGAUGAUGAUGGAGAUGGAGAUGGUGAUGGAGAUGGUGAUGGGAGAUGGAGAUGGAGAUGGUGAUGGGAUGGUGAUGGAGAUGGAGAUCUAGGGUGAUGAGAUAGAGAUGGAGAUGGAGAUCUAGUGGUGAUGGGAUGGUGAUGGAGAUGGAGAUCUAGGGUGAUGAGAUGGUGAUGGAGAUGGAGAUAGUGACGGAGAUGGAGUGGUGAUGGAGAUGGUGAUGGUGAUGGUGAUGGAGAUGGCGAUGGUGAUGGUGUUGGAGUGGUGAUGGUGAUGGUGAUUGUGGUGUUGAUGGUGAUUGUGGUGUUGAUGGUAAUGGAG